UCCGAUUUUAUUCAUACUACAUAUAUUGCAUAAGAAUUAGGCUGAGGCUGUGUUUAGGAACACACACACACACACACACACACACACACACACACACACAAGUCCUAUGUGUCAACAAUUAAAGAAAAAAGAAAACAGACACCAUGAAUUUGAAAGGGAGCAAGGGGCAUAAUACAUUGAUUGGAGGGUUUGGAAGGAGGAAGGAAAGGAGUGGGAGAUGAUGUAAUUGCUUUAUAAUCUCAAAAGAUAAAAAGAAACUUUUUUUAAAAAUCAGGUUGAGGGGUUGGGGAUUUAGCUCAGUGGUAGAGCGCUUGCCUAGGAAGUGCAAGGCCCUGGGUUCGGUCCCCAGCUCCGGAAAAAAAAAAAAAAAGAACCAAAAAAAAAAAAAUCAGGUUGAAAGAAAGGUGUGUUUGUUUGCUUGUUUCCUGAGACAGGGUCUCGCUAUGUAGGCCAGAUGGCCUGGAAUUUGCUAUGUAGACCAGGUUGGCCUUGAAUUCCAAGUGCUAGUAUUAAAGGUUUGUGCUACCUGGGUUUAACUAUCUUUUUUUUUUUUUUCUUUUCUUUUUUUCGGAGCUGGGGACUGAACCCAGGGCCUUGCGCUUCCUAGGCAAGCGCUGUACCACUGAGCUAAAUCCCCAACCCCCCCCCUUUUUUUUUUAAAGAUUUAUUUAUUUAUAAGUACACUGUAGCUGUCUUCAGACACACCAGAAGAGGGCAUCAGAUCUCAUUACAGAUGGUUGUGAGCCACCAUGUGGUUGCUGGGAUUUGAACUCAGGACCUCUGGAAGAGCGGUCAGUGCCCUUAACCGCUGAGCCAUCUCUCACAGCCCUCUUUUUUUUUUUUUUUUUUUUUUUAAUGUAUGUGUGUUUUCUCCUUCUACCCAAGGAUCCAACAGUCUUCAAUCCCUCACUUCUGGGGUCAUAGAUGUUCACGAGAGCAAGCUGGCAUUUCAGACAGGUUCUGGGAUCAGAACUCGGGUCUUUAAGCAGAUACUGUGAAUCUUGAUGAGCAAGAGGGGGAGCCCUCUGGCCAACAGAGAAAAGCAGAGGGACAGCCUGGAAUUGGGAAUGAGGCAGCACAAAUCUACAGCCCUCCUUCCACUGGCCGGGGAACUGUAUUUCAUGGCCCGUCUCCUUUGGCAAUCACCCAGUUCCCUCAAGACAAGGGAGUUCAUCCUCACUUAAGAGGAUCUGCAGAGCCAAGGCUAAGGAUUGUCAAGGCUUGGAGUAAGCCCGGAACACAGAGGGCUCUAAGCAGGGGCAGGGUGGUGUUUUCAGCCCAGGGCUCCAGCUUGGCUGGGCAGUAUCUCACAGAGCCUCUCUGAUGGCCCAAGGGAGAUGUGUGGAAAGAGACAGAGAAGAGAGCCAAAGAGAAGGAGAUUCCGAGGCAGUGAGCAACUGCUGGGUCAAGAGGUUGUGUCCCACCAUGAAAGAGGAAGGAAGGCACACUACACCGAGUAAGAAUAGCAUCCUGAUUAGAGGAGGGCUUCCCUUGAGGUGUGCAGAGACUAGCAGAAUUGUGCAGGUUAGACAAAGCCAAGCCACACACAGACAGGGAUUGAUUCCUGGAUGUUCAGUGCUGAGGCUUUGGGUUACCCCAGUAUCGCCUCACCCCCACAGGCCCCUGGUGCUUGGUUAAUAUCCUCCCUCAGGCUGAGACAGACUCACCCUGCCUUUCAUCCUGCAGGCUUAUCUACCUAACCUUGGUGGGCAUCGUGUGUGUGUGUGUGUGUGUGUGUGUGUGUGUGUGUGUGUGUGUGUGUGUGUGUGUUUUGUCAUUCCAGGGGCAUGCCUGUCUGCAGGUGUCUCAGUGGGUUGGAGAGAGACAGUCAUGACAUUUUGACAUUUUUAUACUUUCCCCCAAUCUCCAACCCUCCGUCCUUUCAGCCCUAAGCAACCGCUGAUCUAAUUUGACUGUAGACAUUUCUCUAUUCUGUAAGUGUGUGAAAUUGCAGCUGCCUGUGGUUUUACACUUUCGAUCUCAGGACUUUAGAGGUGGAGGCAGGAGGAUCAGGAGCUCACGGUCAUCUAUCGUUACUUGUUGAGGUAGAGGCUAGCCUGGACUACUUGAGGCCCUGUCUCAAAAAUGAAUUAAUAAAACGCCAAGGCCAGCAAGAUGGUUCACUAAGUAAGUUGCUUGCCGCCAAACCUCAUAACUGACUUGUGCAAAUUGUUCUCUCGCCUUCAUGUGAGUGCACACCCUGCCUUUCCCCAAAAAAUAAUCGAGUGAGUGAAUACGAAUUAAAUUUAAAGAAUAUAAAACAGAGUCAGAUGUGAUGGGGCAAGGCCUUUAAGACUCAGGAAGCAGAGGCAGGCAGAUCUCUGAGUUCAAGGACAUCGUGGUCUACAGAGUGAGUCCAGAACUGCCAAGGUUACACAGAGAAACCCGGUCUUGAAAAAAAAUUGUAUAUGUGUAUGCGUAUGUAUACUGUAUAAUGCAUAUGUAUAUAAUGUAUAUGUAUGCAUGCAAAAUGUAUAUUUAAAUAAUGUACAUGUAUAUAUAAAAUAAAAAAAAUACACGUGGGUAAGAGUGACAUUAUGUGUCUGUCUACUCCUUUGAGGCAGUAUCUCUCAUUAGUCUGGAAUUUAUCAGUUAAGCUACACUGGCUACUAGGGAACCCCAGGGAGCCCCCUAAGUCUACUUUCCUGAAAUCGCAUUUUCGUACACAAGCCACCACACCGAGCUUUUUAAAUAUUGGUGCUGGGGAGGGAUCAGACUCACGUCCUCAUCUUCCAAGACAAGCACUUUACUCACUGAGCCACCCACUCACCCAACCCCCAUCCCGUUUCUGUCCCAUUUCCGUUGGCCACACAAGAAUCGCUCAGAGUUCUUAGCGAGUGACGCAGACAAAUACAUAAUCUCAGAGUCUACAAAGGUGAGCCAGGUACUUUCCCGAGCCCGGGCUAUGAAUUGUGCUUGGCAAAGAAUCUCUCCCCACUUUGCAGCUGGGGAAACUGAGGGUGAAGAUCACCGAUCUGUGCCUUGAGGGGAUUCCACAAGAGCAACUGUUGCUAAGCCGCCCACACUGGGAGGGUGGAAGGUGGUAAAGAAGGUGUUGACACUCUUUAUUCUCCGGCCUCCCUUCCCUCCUGGGCGUUGGGAAUUAGAUGUUCAAACAGGACGAUGGGAAUGCUAACUGCAUCCAGUCUGGGUGACUCACUGACAGUACCCUCGACUGUGGGGAAGGUCCCAGCCUCGUGGGGGCCAAUGGCGCAGGCAGGAUCCGGAUGCGGCGCGCAUCGUUUUAUACACCAGCUGGGUUUCCAGCCGAGCUGCUUGCUUGAGCAUCCUCACAAUAUGGCGACUGGCUUUCCAAGAAGAAAGUGACCUAGCAAGAGGAGAAGGAGAGCCACGGUGUAUUUUAUUUCUGGUCAAAAGGGGAUAAAAGUCCAAGCGCCCACCGAUGGGCGGACGCAUAGAAUGUGGUACAUCGACACAGUGGGACAUUAUUUGGUCAUGGAACAGAACAGAAUAAAGUAUGGAUGAUGCUAUGACAUAAA